AAAAUUUUAGUUUAUAAAAACAUCUACUUUGGAUGUAGAAAAUACUAUAAUUAAUUCUA
rnacentral:tRNA from 1 species